GACAGAGGGUGCAAACGUUGCUCGGAAUCACUGGGCGUAAAGGGCGCGUAGGCGGACAGUUUAGUCAGAGGUGAAAGCCCAGGGCUCAACCUUGGAAUUGCCUUUGAUACUGGCUGUCUUGAGUUCGGGAGAGGUGAGUGGAAUGCCGAGUGUAGAGGUGAAAUUCGUAGAUAUUCGGCGGAACACCAGUGGCGAAGGCGACUCACUGGCCCGAUACUGACGCUGAGGCGCGAAAGCGUGGGGAGCAAACAGG
rnacentral:rRNA from 1 species